CAACUGAAAUAUAUAUGACUCGACAAGGGGACCAGUGAACAGAAGAACAGAAAUCAGAAUUCUGACAACAUAACAGAAGGCAGAAGUCCUUGUGAGAAGCUGAUAUUUGUCACUGAAAUCCACUGCUUCCAUGAUUUGUGGAUAUCUCAGUCAUUCUCGGAGACCAUAGGGCAGAACGCAAAGAACAUAACAUAGGAGUCAAAUGGAGCCGAACACUUCAGUCACUCACGUGAUGGCUGUGUGUCCUUGGGCUCUACAAGAAGCAUGGUAUCAGCAUCUGCUUCUGAUGAUGCCUCAGGCUGCUUCCACUCAAGUUGGAAGGAAAAAGGGAGGCUGCAUGUGCAGAGAUCACACGGAGGAGGAGGAAGCAAAAGAGAACUUUCUAGCUCGAAAUCACGUAUGGAAGCUGAGUCACCUCCGUUUCUCCUGGAGCCCGAGCUGGCUGUCACCGAGACCUUGCUCAUUAUGCAGACUCAUUCACAUGCAUACCCAAAGCAACACUUGACGGUUGUGGAAGAUUUCCAUCCUCACAGGUCAUGAAAUGCGUCUCCACUGGAAUACUGGUUGUUUAUCACCUACACUAACGAUUUACAAUGGCCUAAGUGUUGUAUUCCUAGUGACUGUAGUCUGAAUCAAAAACUCCUGCCCUGAAGCAAGGACAACUUCUUUAUUCACAUGGAGAAUGAUAGCAGGGAAAAGGCAAAAAUUUAACAAUAACGAAGAAAAAUCCCUCUUUUUCUAUGUGCAGAAUAAAAAUCUUAUUAAAAUAAGACCUUUCAAGUGCUUCCUUUCACUGUUCAUUUGGGAAGGUAUUUCACAGACGGUAUGAACACCCUGAAAUGUUGCCCGGUCUGAAAUCUUUUAUCUGCAGCUUUAGAAGAACAAAGGGUAAAACAUAUGGAAAGGAGAAACCAGCAGUAGACGGCACAGCUAAGGACAGGGACAGGAAUGCAAAUUAUGAUUCUUGUCUCAAAAUAUUUCUGGUCAGUUUCUACCCACCGAGGGCCAUCUCUGGGUGCAGGGUAGAGACUGCAUAUGGGGUGAUUAAGGGCCCUGUGAUUUCUUGACACCAACACAGAACUGCGAGCUUUGCAAGUCCUUGCCUUUUAUCAAAGACACACUUUUUUUUUUUUUUUUUGAGACGGCGUCUCGCUGUGUCGCCCAGGCUGGAGUGCAGUGGUGCGAUCUCGGCUCACUGCAAGCUGCGCCUCCCGGGUUCACGCCAUUCUCCUGCCUCAGCCUCCCGAGUAGCUGGGACUACAGGCACCCACCACCAUGCCCAGCUAAUUUUCUUUUGUAUUUUUAGUAGAGACGGGGUUUCACCGUGUUAGCC
rnacentral:lncRNA from 1 species